CACACGUAGUUUGAUCAUGGCUCAGUAUUGAACGCUGGCGGCGUGCUUAACACAUGCAAGUCGAACGCGAAAGUCCUUCGGGGCGAGUAGAGUGGCGGACGGGUGAGUAACGCGUGGGAAUCUACCCUAGAGCGGGGGACAACCCGGGGAAACCCGGGCUAAUACCGCAUACGUCCUACGGGAGAAAGAGGGCCUCUGCUUGCACGCUCUCACUCCAGGAUGAGCCCACGUCCGAUUAGCUAGUUGGUAGGGUAAAGGCCUACCAAGGCCACGAUCGGUAGCUGGUCUGAGAGGAUGAUCAGCCACACUGGGACUGAGACACGGCCCAGACUCCUACGGGAGGCAGCAGUGGGGAAUAUUGGACAAUGGGCGCAAGCCUGAUCCAGCAAUGCCGCGUGUGUGAAGAAGGCCUGCGGGUUGUAAAGCACUUUCAGUGGGGAAGAACAGAUUCGGGUCAAUACCCCGGAGCCCUGACGUUACCCACAGAAGAAGCACCGGCUAACUCCGUG
rnacentral:rRNA from 1 species